AUUGAACGCUGGCGGCAGGCUUAACACAUGCAAGUCGAGCGGAGCGAGGGUGCUUGCACCUUAGCUUAGCGGCGGACGGGUGAGUAAUGCUUAGGAAUCUGCCUAUUAGUGGGGGACAACAUUCCGAAAGGAAUGCUAAUACCGCAUACGCCCUACGGGGGAAAGCAGGGGAUCUUUGGACCUUGCGCUAAUAGAUGAGCCUAAGUCGUAUUAGCUAGUUGGUGGGGUAAAGGCCUACCAAGGCGACGAUCUGUAGCGGGUCUGAGAGGAUGAUCCGCCACACUGGGACUGAGACACGGCCCAGACUCCUACGGGAGGCAGCAGUGGGGAAUAUUGGACAAUGGGCGGAAGCCUGAUCCAGCCAUGCCGCGUGUGUGAAGAGGGCCUUUUGGUUGUAAAGCACUUUAAGCGAGGAGGAGGAGCUCUAGGUUAAUACCCUAGAUGCUUGGACGUUACUCGCAGAAUAAGCACCGGCUAACUCUGUGCCAGCCGCCGCAGUAAUAC
rnacentral:rRNA from 1 species